UACGGAGGGUGCUAGCGUUGUUCGGAAUUACUGGGCGUAAAGCGUACGUAGGCGGCUUUGUAAGUUAGAAGUGAAAGCCCGGGGCUCAACUCCGGAACUGCCUUUAAGACUGCAUCGCUUGAAUCCAGGAGAGGUGAGUGGAAUUCCGAGUGUAGAGGUGAAAUUCGUAGAUAUUCGGAAGAACACCAGUGGCGAAGGCGGCUCACUGGACUGGUAUUGACGCUGAGGUGCGAAAGCGUGGGGAGCAAACAGG
rnacentral:rRNA from 1 species